rnacentral:rRNA from 1 species
GGCCUUGAAAUACCACCCUUUAAUGUUUGAUGUUCUAACGUGGACCCGUAAUCCGGGUUGCGGACAGUGUCUGGUGGGUAGUUUGACUGGGGCGGUCUCCUCCUAAAGAGUAACGGAGGAGCACGAAGGUUGGCUAAUCCUGGUCGGACAUCAGGAGGUUAGUGCAAUGGCAUAAGCCAGCUUGACUGCGAGCGUGACGGCGCGAGCAGGUGCGAAAGCAGGUCAUAGUGAUCCGGUGGUUCUGAAUGGAAGGGCCAUCGCUCAACGGAUAAAAGGUACUCCGGGGAUAACAGGCUGAUACCGCCCAAGAGUUCAUAUCGACGGCGGUGUUUGGCACCUCGAUGUCGGCUCAUCACAUCCUGGGGCUGAAGUAGGUCCCAAGGGUAUGGCUGUUCGCCAUUUAAAGUGGUACGCGAGCUGGGUUUAGAACGUCGUGAGACAGUUCGGUCCCUAUCUGCCGUGGGCGCUGGAGAACUGAGGGGGGCUGCUCCUAGUACGAGAGGACCGGAGUGGACGCAUCACUGGUGUUCGGGUUGUCAUGCCAAUGGCACUGCCCGGUAGCUAAAUGCGGAAGAGAUAAGUGCUGAAAGCAUCUAAGCACGAAACUUGCCCCGAGAUGAGUUCUCCCUGAGACUUAGAGUCUCC